CACAAAGAGGAGGGAACAGAAAGCCACAAACACUUUCCUCUAUGAUACUAAGAGAUGCCCAGUACCUGAACCAACCAUCUUUGAGUUGCCAAAGAUGAGGAAGGCGAUGCUGGCAUAGAGAAUUGUGACAAGAAGACAGCUAGUCCCAGAAAGGCUUGGAAUAACCACAGGAGAACUGAGCCAAAGUGGCUUCAGACUUCAGGACCCAGGCAAAGUAGAACUUGGAGUAAGAUCUGGACGGAACACAGAGGAUUAAGUGACUGAUGAUAUCCCCAUCACUUCCCCCACUGGGUUCCCAGCAUGCCUACAGUCUGCUCCCCAGAGAAGAGGUGUCCACGUCAGAGGGAACCAUCCCAGGAGAAGAGACUCAUUGAGAUAGACAAGGCUAUUAUUGGCGUCUACCAAAGGCCACCAGAUGAGAGUGGUUGGAGAUGGAGAGAUGCAGAAAAAGGGAAGAACUGGAUGUCAGUUAUUCUUUCUUAUGCUCAUCUCUCUCCUCUUCUUUAAUCUCCAGUUGGCACUUGAAGGAGAUAAUUGUGUAUAUCAAUCUGCAAAUAUAGAGGAAAUCUCUCCAUUUGGAAAUAUAUCACAUCACACAGGAAAGGCUUAUCACCUCCACCGCCAUUUGAUGCUACCGUCUGGAGGCCAAGGCUUUGCCGUCUUUAAGGACAAAUAACCAAAGAUGCUGUUGAGAAAAGUUCCACUGGAUUCAUGCUGCACCUUAUAGAAUGCAAAAAAGGCUUGACUC
rnacentral:lncRNA from 1 species